UACGUAGGGUGCGAGCGUUGUCCGGAAUUAUUGGGCGUAAAGAGCUUGUAGGCGGUUUGUCGCGUCUGCCGUGAAAAUUCGAGGCUCAACCUCGAACUUGCGGUGGGUACGGGCAGACUAGAGUGUGGUAGGGGAGACUGGAAUUCCUGGUGUAGCGGUGAAAUGCGUAGAUAUCAGGAGGAACACCGGUGGUGUAGACGGCUCUCUGGACCGUAACUGACGCUGAGACACGAAAGCGUGGGUAGCGAACAGG
rnacentral:rRNA from 1 species